rnacentral:rRNA from 1 species
UGGGGGUUUACGCGGGGAAGUGAAACAUCUCAGUACCCGUAGGAGAAGAAAACAAUUGUGAUUCCGUUAGUAGUGGCGAGCGAACGUGGAUGAUGGCUAAAACUUAUGUGUGUGAUACCCGGCAGGGGUUGCAUGUAGGUGGUUGUGGGGCAAUGACGUUCAUAUUCUGCCGGAUGUGGGCAUGUGCUGCGUGGUUAGUGGAAGUGGUGUGGAAACACCUGCCGUAGAAGGUGAGAGUCCUGUACACGAAGAUCAUGGUGGUGUGUGUGGUUGUUGAUACCCCGAGUAGCAGCGGGCUCGUGGAAUCUGCUGUGAAUUAGCCGGGACCACCCGGUAAGCCUGAAUACUUGAUAUGACCGAUAGCG